rnacentral:rRNA from 1 species
AUGCUCCGGCGCCGAGGCCGCGUCCUCAUCCAGAUGCUCUCCUCUCCAUCCGCCUCCACCAGCUCCCCUCUCCACCGCCUCAUAUCCGCCACCCGACCACACGUAAACGCGCGGAGCAGCAUCCUCUCCUCUCCCCGCCGCCUCCUCUCCGGUGCCACAGCCCCCGUCGUCUCCCCGAACCCUAGCUUCGCCGUGGAGGAGUACCUCGUCUCCACCUGCGGCCUCACCCGACCGCAGGCACUCAAGGCCUCCCCCAAGCUCGCCCACCUCAGGUCCGCCGCCAACCCGGACGCCGUCCUCGCCUUCCUCGCCGGCCGUGGCCUCUCCGGCGCCGACGUCGCCGCCCUCGUCGCCAAGGACCCCAAGUUCCUCUGCGCCGGCGUGGACAAGGGCCUGUCCCCCAUCGUCGCGGGGCUCUCCGGCCUCGGUUUGUCAGAUCCCGAGAUGGCGCGCCUCCUCUCGCUCGCCCCACACAAAUUCCGCUGCAGAUCCAUCGUCGCCAAGCUGCACUACUACCUGCCCCUCUUCGGCGGCUCCUUGGAGAAGCUGCUCCGGGCCAUCAACUUCACCAACCUCCUCUGCUGCAAGGGGAGGGUGGAGCCCAACGUCGCGUUCCUGCGCGAGUGCGGGCUGGGUGAUGGCGACAUUGCCAAGCUGUGCAGCUCGAGGAUGGUCACCGCCAACAUGGAGCGUGUUCGGACAAUGGUGGCAUUGACCGAAGGCCUCGGCGUGCCCCGGGGGUCCGGAAUGUUCAGGCAUGCUCUGAGUGCCGUCGCAUUCCUCGACGAGAAGAAGAUCACAGCCAAAGUGGAUCACCUGAAGAAGACGGUCGGGUGGUCGGAUGCUGAGGUGAGCAUUGCUCUCCCUAAGGCACCGUUUCUGCUCGCCAAGUCGAACGAAUCGCUGCAGCAUGGGUCCGAGUUCCUCGUCUCUGAGGUUGGGUUGGAACCGGCGUACAUUGCUCGUCGGCCGGUACUGCUCUGUUACAGCCUAGAGGGCCGGAUGAGACCCUGGUACUACGUUUUAAAGUUUCUCAAGGAAAAUGGAUUGCUCAAGCGCGACCCCAGCUACUAUACUGUUUUCAAGGAGACCGAGAGGUAUUUCGUGGAGAAGUUCAUAUGCCCUCACAAGGAAGCUGCACCAUACCUCGCUGAAGACUAUGCUGCCGCUUGCAGAGGGGAAGUGCCCGCUAGAUUUAGAUAUACAUGA